CCUACGGGAGGCAGCAGUGAGGAAUAUUGCUCAAUGGACGAGACUCUGAACCAGCCAAGCAGCGUGAAGGAUGACUGCCCUAUGUGUUGUAAACUUCUUUUAUAUGGGAGUAAAAUGUUCCACGUGUGGGAUUUUGUAUGUACCAUAUGCAUACGGAUCGGCUAACUCCGUGCCAGCAGCCGCGGUAAUACGGAGGAUCCGAGCGUUAUCCGGAUUUAUUGGGUUUAAAGGGAGCGUAGGUGGAUUGUUAAGUCAGUUGUGAAAGUUUGCGGCUCAACCGUAAAAUUGCAGUUGAAACUGGCAGUCUUGAGUACAGGAGAGGUGGGCGGAAUUCGUGGUGUAGCGGUGAAAUGCGUAGAUAUCACGAAGAACUCCGAUUGCGAAGGCAGUUCACUGGACUGCAACUGACACUGAGGCUCGAAAGUGUGGGUAUCAAACAGGAUUAGAUACCCUAGUAGUC
rnacentral:rRNA from 1 species